rnacentral:rRNA from 1 species
AACGUAGGUGGCGAGCGUUAUCCGGAUUUACUGGGCGUAAAGCGUGUGCAGGCGGGGAAACAAGUGGUGUAUGAAAUUUCCCGGCUUAACCGGGAAGGGUUAUGCCAGACUGGUUUUCUGGAGUGCGAGAGAGGGGCGUGGAAUUCCGGGUGUAGUGGUGAAAUGCGUAGAGAUCGGCAGGAACACCCAGGGAGAAAUCAGCCGCCUGGGCAAGUGCUGACGCUGAGGUGCGAAAGCGUGGGGAGCGAACCGG